GGAGAAGAUGAACGAGCUCCUGAUGCUGGUGGAGAUGGACGCCACAGUGGCCAGGGAUCAGUACUGCCUGAUCUGAAUGCAAUGCCUGAUUUAGAUGAUGGUACUGAUGACAUAUUUGAGGACCUUGGUACUAAUAUUGGUCUAGGUAGCAGCUCUGGUACAAGUAUUAGAAAAAGGAAGCAAUACAGUGAUGAUACAAAGCGA